rnacentral:rRNA from 1 species
AGCUUAGAGUUUGAUCCUGGCUCAGAUUGAACGCUGGCGGCAGGCUUAACACAUGCAAGUCGAGCGGGGUGAUGGUGCUUGCACUAUCACCUAGCGGCGGACGGGUGAGUAAUGCUUAGGAAUCUGCCUAUUAGUGGGGGACAACAUUUCGAAAGGAAUGCUAAUACCGCAUACGUCCUACGGGAGAAAGCAGGGGAUCUUCGGACCUUGCGCUAAUAGAUGAGCCUAAGUCGGAUUAGCUAGUUGGUGGGGUAAAGGCCUACCAAGGCGACGAUCUGUAGCGGGUCUGAGAGGAUGAUCCGCCACACUGGGACUGAGACACGGCCCAGACUCCUACGGGAGGCAGCAGUGGGGAAUAUUGGACAAUGGGCGCAAGCCUGAUCCAGCCAUGCCGCGUGUGUGAAGAAGGCCUUAUGGUUGUAAAGCACUUUAAGCGGGGAGGAGGCUACUUUAGAUAAUACCUAGAGAUAGUGGGCGUUACUCGCAGAAUAAGCACCGGCUAACUCUGUGCCAGCAGCCGCGGUAAUACAGAGGGUGCAAGCGUUAAUCGGAUUUACUGGGCGUAAAGCGCGCGUAGGCGGCUAAUUAAGUCAAAUGUGAAAUCCCCGAGCUUAACUUGGGAAUUGCAUUCGAUACUGGUUAGCUAGAGUGUGGGAGAGGAUGGUAGAAUUCCAGGUGUAGCGGUGAAAUGCGUAGAGAUCUGGAGGAAUACCGAUGGCGAAGGCAGCCAUCUGGCCUAACACUGACGCUGAGGUGCGAAAGCAUGGGGAGCAAACAGGAUUAGAUACCCUGGUAGUCCAUGCCGUAAACGAUGUCUACUAGCCGUUGGGGCCUUUGAGGCUUUAGUGGCGCAGCUAACGCGAUAAGUAGACCGCCUU